AUAAGGCAGGUGGAAAAUUAUUUGGAUUGCUGGGCUCAGAGUUGUUCAUAAUUAGCCAGUGGUACAAAGUCCAAUUGGUGACCAGUUGCUAGCAGUGUUCCUCAGGGAUUGCUGUUAGGAUCAAUACCAUUUUAUGCCUUUAUUAAUGACCUACACAAUGGGAUUAGAGGGCACCGCAACAUUCCACCAAAGGAGCGGUUGAUAUGCUGAAGGGCAGGGCUGUCCCUGUUCAGAAAGACUUUGGCAGAGGUGUAGCUAGCCAGCGUAGAGAGGUAUUCCUUCCCCUCUGCACAUAUAAGACCACAUCUUGAGUGCUGUGUCCAGUUUGGGAUUCCUCAGUACAAGAAAGACAUGAACUCAGAAGAGGAGCAAGCUAGUACAGGCCAUUGAGAUGACUAGGUACUGAAGCACAGGGACAGACACAAGGAGAUACAGAAGGAACUGGAACUGUUCAGCCUGGACGAGAGGCACUAGACCGUGCCUAUCACAUGCUGGACUGUGGGACUCAUAAAGCUCAAGUUACUCAGAACAAAUUUUACGUACAAUACGUAUUUUAAGCAAAGGGCUUGUGGAAAUCGUCACCAGGAGGAAAAAAUGUAUUCAGGUGGACUACACAAAUGUAAGUGGAAAACACAAGGCUGUAUAUUUGGAGAAGUCUUUAGCUGUGUGUGUGUGUGCAUGUGUGUGUGUGCACACAAAGGUAUUCCUUCAUAAUGGAGUAGGGUAAGACCUGAGCUUUCUUUUCUCCUUACCACUUGUCUUCAUUUCAAUGGAAAACAAGGAGAGGGUUGUAGAUAGAACUCAAACGGACUCUGAAGAAAGGAAAGGAAAGAAACAUUGGGUGUGAAAGUAAAGAUAUCCAUGACAAAGGUCACUAAUAUGAGGAUGGGCACCCUCCAUACGUGAAAGAGCUAGGUCUUGUAGCAAAAGAAGAAACAUAGGGAAUGAGGAAAUUUGACUUCAGUUGGCCUAGUAGUGUACACAACCAGCACUAUGUACAUGUUAGACAAGCCUGCGUGGUACUGUUUGCAUGGCUUUAAUGUGGCCAAUCUGCCAACAAGCAGUUACUGAUCAACAGGAUGUAUAUCUGACCCAAAAAUACUGCGCAGACAAUAUCAAGAGAAUGUGAUAUCCAUCUAAACACUGUUUUUCCCUCAAUUCCAAUCUAAAUCAACGUGCAGGAGAAUGAGUAAAAAAGCUUAGUGACAUCUUACUAUUAAUUUUUGGAUCUGCUCCAUUUUUCUCCUUUUCCUUGUGCAUUAUUCAAUUUUCUGGUCACAACUGCCAGAACAAGUAGCAAAGUUAAUAAUAUUUGAAGUAGAAGAAUGAGUAAAACCUGCUGUCUUAAACUGCAAGUUAGCUAUAGAAAUAACUGUAAAUAGUAUAAACAUAAAAUAUAAACAAAUAUAAAAUACAACAGUACACAGAUAUUAUGAAAAAAAAUAGCUAUAGAAAUCAUCGUAUGAUUCUUUUCCUUGGUACUGCCCAGAUGUGUGUGCAGCCAUACCCAUGCAUUUUGGAGACAUAACCAUGUUGAGACCUAUGUUUUCCUCCUUCUGUGAUUCUGAAGAUCUUCUACAGGUAGCAACAAUCAGAGGAGAGGGUUAAUUGGGGAUUUACAUUUCUCCACUUCCCCGCCCUUCACACACACCACCUUGCACCUGCAUUUGAGAUUUCAACAGAUUCAAACAAAAGGCGGGGUCUUCAGUGGGAACAAUGGGGCUGCUGUGUGUAUAAAUAACAGCACAUAGCCUUGUGGUGUUUCUGUUGCCUGUUUUGUGCUUUUUCUAGCUGUCGGCUUAGUCUCUUGGCACACAGAGGGAGUAG
ensembl:lncRNA